UUGCUAAAAAAGAAAAAAAAAAGAAAAAGAAAAAAAGAAACCCACAUUCAAAUUGGAUCGCCUCCACCCCAGCUCUUCAACACACAGGCAUAGAAUCAACCCAUUGUGGCUCACUUUGAUCCGAACACGCCUUGUAGUGACUUGCGGGGCAGGGCUGAGAGACUCGGUACCGGGGAGUCGCGGGAGUCGGGAACACACUGCCGAGCCGCCACCUGCCCUCCUGCCUGCACAUUUCCUUUGAGCAGAGCCUUUGAGGGCUGCGAAGCUGGAGGAGUUAGGGUAAGACAGUGAGGGCAGCGCUUAGCUAGUUAGGAGGUGAGAAUCUCCGCCACGCCAGGGUGGGAAGAAAGGGUCAAGUCUGAGGUGAGGAUGGAGAUAGGUCCUAGGUAUAGAAGAGGGUUCCAGGUCUGGUGUGAGAGUGGAGAGAGGAUCAAGAUGGGAGACAGAGAUCAAGAUCUGAAGUGAUGAGAAGGAUUCAUGUCUUAGAAAGGCUGAGGGGAGGUCCUGGGAGGAUGUGUGGGUCUUCAGUGAUGGAUUGGUUAAGACUAGAAUUGGAAAAGGGACCCAGGUCUGAAGAGGGGUGGGAUUGAGGCUGGGGUGAGAGAGGGAUCUAGGUCGGAGGUGGGGUGGGAACGGGAGCACUAAGACUGGUGGAGUCCGCACUGGCGAACGGA
rnacentral:lncRNA from 1 species